rnacentral:rRNA from 1 species
UACGUAGGGGGCGAGCGUUGUCCGGAAUCAUUGGGCGUAAAGCGCGUGUAGGCGGCCCGGUAAGUCCGCUGUGAAAGUCCAGGGCUCAACCCUGGGAUGCCGGUGGAUACUGUCGGGCUCGAGUCCGGGAAGAGGCGAGUUGGAAUUCCUGGUGUAGCGGUGAAAUGCGCAGAUAUCAGGAGGAACACCAAUGGCGAAGGCAGCUC